CGUUCCAUCUGGAAGAAUCUGGAGACAGGUGCUGCAUGGCUGUCGUCAGCUCGUGUCGUGAGAUGUUGGGUUAAGUCCCGCAACGAGCGCAACCCUUGCCUUUAGUUGCCAGCAGUUCGGCUGGGCACUCUAAAGGGACUGCCGGUGUUAAACCGGAGGAAGGUGGGGAUGACGUCAAGUCCUCAUGGCCUUUAUGGCCAGGGCUACACACGUACUACAAUGGCCGAUACAAAGGGCAGCGACACUGCGAGGUGAAGCCAAUCCCGUAAAAUCGGUCUCAGUCCGGAUUGGAGUCUGCAACUCGACUCCAUGAAGUUGGAAUCGCUAGUAAUCGUGGAUCGGCAUGCCACGGUGAAUACGUUCCCGGGCCUU
rnacentral:rRNA from 1 species